rnacentral:rRNA from 1 species
ACGGGUUGAUAUUCCCGUACCCGUGUGCGUGCGACAAGUGAUGAAUCUUAUGGUACUAACCGCCCGCCUACGUGCACUAAUCUUUUUGGUUGGUGUGUGUGGGUGCGUGGGAUCUUCGUGGGUAGUAGUCAAGUGAUGGGGUGACGCAGAGUGGUAGCUAGGCUUCCUUAUUGGAUUGGAGUGCAAGCGUGUGGCCUGUGGGGUUGGGAAAUCCGCCCCACGUAUCAGGUGAGGCGUGAUGCGGACACCAUGUUGUGGUGGUAGUUAGUGUGCCUGUGCUGUCUAGAAAAGCCUCUAGCGAGUGCGUGCAUGGCCCGUACCGGAAACCGACACAGGUGGUCAGGUAGAGAAUACUAAGGCGUUCGGGUGAACUGUGGUUAAGGAACUCGGCAAAAUGCCCCCGUAACUUCGGGAGAAGGGGGACCAUUACUGGUUGCUGACAGCAUUAUAGCUGGUGGUGGUCGCAGAGGAGAGAGGGAAGCGACUGUUUAUUAAAAACACAGGUCCGUGCGAAAACGUGGAAGUUGAGGUAUACGGACUGACGCCUGCCCGGUGCUGGAAGGUUAAGAGGACCCGUGAGCACGCCUUUAUGGUGUGCGAGGCGGAGAAUUGAAGCCCCAGUAAACGGCGGUGGUAACUAUAACCAUCCUAAGGUAGCGAAAUUCCUUGUCGGGUAAGUUCCGACCUGCACGAAUGGCGUAACGACUUCCCUGCUGUCUCAACCACAGGCCCGGUGAAAUUGCAGUACGAGUAAAGAUGCUCGUUUCGCGCGGCAGGACGAAAAGACCCCGGGACCUUUACUAUAGCUUGGUAUUGGUGUUUGGUCAUGCUUGUGUAGGAUAGGUGGGAGACUGUGAAGCUUCAACGCUAGUUGUGGUGGAGUCGCAGGUGAAAUACCACUCUGGUGUGAUUGGGUACCUGAACCUUGGCCCGUGAUCCGGGUUGGGGACAGUGCCUGGUGGGUAGUUUAACUGGGGCGGUUGCCUCCUAAAUGGUAACGGAGGCGCCCAAAGGUUUCCUCAGUCUGGUUGGCAAUCAGAUGGUGAGUGUAAGUGUAUAAGGGAGCUUGACUGUGACACUGACGGGUGGAGCAGGUGCGAAAGCAGGGACUAGUGAUCCGGCAUCUACGUGUGGUUGUGGUGUCGCUCAACGGAUAAAAGGUACCCCGGGGAUAACAGGCUGAUCUUCCCCAAGAGUUCAUAUCGACGGGAUGGUUUGGCACCUCGAUGUCGGCUCGUCGCAUCCUGGGGCUGGAGUAGGUCCCAAGGGUUGGGCUGUUCGCCCAUUAAAGCGGCACGCGAGCUGGGUUUAGAACGUCGUGAGACAGUUCGGUC